rnacentral:lncRNA from 1 species
GGACUGAAAUGGUUUAAAUGGAAUUUAAGUUUGGGAAUUGGACUGAUUUUGUUAAAAAAUCUCCAUGGGAGGGGUUGAAAUGCUUAAUUUAAAUCAAAGUUUGAAUAUUGGGAUUUGUUUUGCUAAAAAUAACCAAAGGAGGGGCUAUUUGAAGAAGCGGGUUCAAUGUUUGGGGGUUUGGGACUGAUUUCGUAAUGUUUUGUCAAGUGAGGGUCUAUUUUGUUUACUUUAUCAAACUUAAUAGAAAUUAGGGCUUUUUAUUUGCUUCGUCAGUUGACUAAUCGAGCAAGGAAGGAACGAUGGAAGCAGAUAGAACACGAACGAAUGAAAGGCAGAUGCGAAUGAACAACAACGGGCAAGAAGGAAGCACGAAGGCGGCAGUGCUGCAUCCAGUUCCUUGCUCGUCGCAGGUCACGAAGAGGACCGAAGGAAGAACAAGCUCGCAGCCAGUACGGGGUUUUUGUCGAUCUAUCGCGAGAAGAGAGCGUCUCCAGUGGUAGACGGGGCCGAAGAUAAUGAGGGAAGAGCAGCGAGGCUGCGCUCUUUCUGUCCGAUUGCGAGGAGCGAAAAGGGAAAGCGAUUCAGUGGUUUUUGGAUCGAGGGUUUGGUGUGGCUAAGAGGUUGCGAAGGGAAGGAAAAGGGGAACAGAAGCAGCGGUGCUGCUGGUGGUCUCGGUGGGUGCAGCGAGGGCUGCUCAAGCAGUUUGCCUUUAUUUUAUUUUCUUUCUUUUUUUUUUUUUUUUUUUUUUUUUUUUUUUUUUUUUUUUUUUUUUUUUUUGACUGAAAUCGGUAGAACUUAAGUGGGUGUUUGGGUUUGAUUUUUGACAGGAGAAAGAAGGAAUAAAUCAGUGGUUGUUUGGCUUAGUUGUGAUCGACGGGAAGGGGGGAAAGGAAACGAGGAUGUUCUUCUUGUUUGCAGGUAGUCACGAGAACAUGCACAAAAAUGUUCUUGGCUGGAAACGAAGAUGCAGGCAUAAAAUAAAGAAUCGAUCAAUUUUCAGUUUAAGAUUUCAAUUGUUGUUGGUUGUUUGUGAAUCAAGCAUUUGUGAUCAGUUGUUGAUUUUUAUCAUUGUACAGGUUGUGGGUUGUGCUUGAGUGUGGUCUUGGUUGAAGGAAGAGUGCAAGCAAGCUUGAGAAAUGCCAACAUAUUUUUUUUGUCUGUAAUUUUAGAUGUACAAGAAUUAAUAGCUGUCAUUUAUGUAUAAUAUGUGUAUUUUGUGUGAAAUUUGUAAAUAAUGAAUUUCCUCAUAGUAUAUGUAUUGAUAUAUUAAUUUAAUUGGACAUUUAUUUGUGUGUAUUUUUGAAAAUUAGAUGGUAGAGAAAGGGAAAAAAUUAUAUGAAAAAAAUGCAAUAAUAUAUGGUUGAAUAUUUGUGUCAAAGUUGAUCACUUAUGGUAUCAAAAUGGGUAAUGUCAUUUGAAACGUUACAAAACAGUUUUUCUCAAUUUGUGUGUCAUUCAUUCUGAUAUUAAAUAAUUUUUCUAAAAAUG